CAGCCGCCACGGUAAUACGUAGGUCCCGAGCGUUGUCCGGAUUUAUUGGGCGUAAAGCGAGCGCAGGCGGUUAGAUAAGUCUGAAGUUAAAGGCUGUGGCUUAACCAUAGUACGCUUUGGAAACUGUUUAACUUGAGUGCAAGAGGGGAGAGUGGAAUUCCAUGUGUAGCGGUGAAAUGCGUAGAUAUAUGGAGGAACACCGGUGGCGAAAGCGGCUCUCUGGCUUGUAACUGACGCUGAGGCUCGAAAGCGUGGGGAGCAAACAGGAUUAGAUACCCCAGUAGUCCCUGUCUCUUAUACA
rnacentral:rRNA from 1 species